AUCGGAUCUCCAAAAACAGCCCUCCAUGAUGGACUGCAGGGAACAAUUUCUGUGAAGAGCCAUGGUGGAGGCAAGAGCUCGAGUCUCAUGAGGCUUCGCCAUCGACGGUGGAGGCAUCUAUGAGAG